GCGAACAUAGUUUAAUCAAAACCUUAGAUUGUGAUUCUAACAAUAGAGGUUCAAACCCUCUUGUUCACC
rnacentral:tRNA from 1 species